AGCAGCCGCGGUAAUUCCAGCUCCAAUAGCGUAUAUUAAAGUUGUUGCAGUUAAAAAGCUCGUAGUUGAAUUUCGGGAUUGACACAUCGGUCGUGCCUUAAGGGGUAUGAACUGGUGUAGUCAAUUUCUCACCUUCUGGAGAACCGCAAUGCCCUUAAUUGGGUGUCGCGGGGAACCAGGACCUUUACUUUGAAAAAAUUAGAGUGUUUAAAGCAGGCAUUUUGCUUGAAUACAUUAGCAUGGAAUAAUAAAAUAGGACGGAUGAUUCUAUUUUGUUGGUUUCUAGGACCACCGUAAUGAUUAAUAGGGAUAGUUGGGGGCAUUAGUAUUCAAUUGUCAGAGGUGAAAUUCUUGGAUUUAUUGAAGACUAACUACUGCGAAAGCAUUUGCCAAGGAUGUUUUCAUUAAUCAAGAACGAAAGUUAGGGGAUCGAAGACGAUCAGAUACCGUCGUAGUCUUAACCAUAAACUAUGCCGACUAGGAAUCAGACGAUGUUAAUUUUUUAAUGACCCG
rnacentral:rRNA from 1 species